rnacentral:rRNA from 1 species
GUGGGGAAUAUUGGACAAUGGGCGCAAGCCUGAUCCAGCCAUGCCGCGUGAGUGAUGAAGGCCUUAGGGUUGUAAAGCUCUUUCAGCUGGGAAGAUAAUGACGGUACCAGCAGAAGAAGCCCCGGCUAACUUCGUGCCAGCAGCCGCGGUAAUACGAAGGGGGCUAGCGUUGUUCGGAAUCACUGGGCGUAAAGCGCACGUAGGCGGAUCAAUAAGUCAGGGGUGAAAUCCCGAGGCUCAACCUCGGAACUGCCUUUGAUACUGUUGACCUUGAGUCAGGGAGAGGUGAGUGGAACUCCGAGUGUAGAGGUGAAAUUCGUAGAUAUUCGGAAGAACACCAGUGGCGAAGGCGGCUCACUGGUCCAUUACUGACGCUGAGGUGCGAAAGCGUGGGGAGCAAACAGGAUUAGAAACCCCUGUAGUCC